rnacentral:rRNA from 1 species
CCUACGGGGGGCUGCAGUGGGGAAUAUUGGACAAUGGGGGCAACCCUGAUCCAGCCAUGCCGCGUGUGUGAAGAAGGCCCUCGGGUUGUAAAGCACUUUCAGUGAGGAAGAACGCCUGGUGGUUAAUACCCAUCAGGAAAGACAUCACUCACAGAAGAAGCACCGGCUAACUCCGUGCCAGCAGCCGCGGUAAUACGGAGGGUGCGAGCGUUAAUCGGAAUUACUGGGCGUAAAGCGCGCGUAGGUGGCCUGAUAAGCCGGUUGUGAAAGCCCCGGGCUCAACCUGGGAACGGCAUCCGGAACUGUCAAGCUAGAGUGCAGGAGAGGAAGGUAGAAUUCCCGGUGUAGCGGUGAAAUGCGUAGAGAUCGGGAGGAAUACCAGUGGCGAAGGCGGCCUUCUGGACUGACACUGACACUGAGGUGCGAAAGCGUGGGUAGCAAACAGGAUUAGAUACCCGGGUAGUC